rnacentral:rRNA from 1 species
AUUGAACGCUGGCGGCAGGCCUAACACAUGCAAGUCGAGCGGAUGAAGGGAGCUUGCUCCUGGAUUCAGCGGCGGACGGGUGAGUAAUGCCUAGGAAUCUGCCUGGUAGUGGGGGAUAACGUCCGGAAACGGGCGCUAAUACCGCAUACGUCCUGAGGGAGAAAGUGGGGGAUCUUCGGACCUCACGCUAUCAGAUGAGCCUAGGUCGGAUUAGCUAGUUGGUGGGGUAAAGGCCUACCAAGGCGACGAUCCGUAACUGGUCUGAGAGGAUGAUCAGUCACACUGGAACUGAGACACGGUCCAGACUCCUACGGGAGGCAGCAGUGGGGAAUAUUGGACAAUGGGCGAAAGCCUGAUCCAGCCAUGCCGCGUGUGUGAAGAAGGUCUUCGGAUUGUAAAGCACUUUAAGUUGGGUGGAAGGGCAGUAAGUUAAUACCUUGCUGUCUUGACGUUACCAACAGAAUAAGCACCGGCUAACUUCGUG